rnacentral:rRNA from 1 species
UACGUAGGGCGCAAGCGUCAUCGAAUUGUGGCGUAAAGAGCUCGUAGGCGGUUUGUCGCGUCUGCCGUGAAAGUCCGGGGCUCAACUCCGGAUCUGCGGUGGGUACGGGCAGACUAGAGUGAUGUAGGGGAGACUGGAAUUCCUGGUGUAGCGGUGAAAUGCGCAGAUAUCAGGAAGAACACCUAUGGCGAAAGCAGCUCUCUGGGACGGUACUGACGCUGAGACGCGAAAGCGUGGGGAGCGAACAGG